UACGGGGGGAGCAAGCGUUGUUCGGAUUUACUGGGCGUAAAGGGCGCGUAGGCGGCCACCGCAAGUCGACUGUGAAAUCUCCGGGCUUAACUCGGAAAGGUCAGCCGAUACUGCGGGGCUAGAGUGCAGAAGGGGCAACUGGAAUUCUCGGUGUAGCGGUGAAAUGCGUAGAGAUCGGGAAGAACAUCGGUGGCGAAAAGCGCUCUACUGGACCGCAACUGACACUCAGGGACGAAAGCUAGGGGAGCGAAUGGG
rnacentral:rRNA from 1 species